rnacentral:rRNA from 1 species
CGGACGGGUGAGUAAUGGCUGGGAAACUGCCCGAUGGAGGGGGAUAACUACUGGAAACGGUAGCUAAUACCGCAUAACGUCGCAAGACCAAAGAGGGGGACCUUCGGGCCUCUUGCCAUCGGAUGUGCCCAGAUGGGAUUAGCUAGUAGGUGGGGUAACGGCUCACCUAGGCGACGAUCCCUAGCUGGUCUGAGAGGAUGACCAGCCACACUGGAACUGAGACACGGUCCAG